AUGGCAUCGAGCACCGGGGUGAAUGCUCCACCGGUGACCAUGGAAGCCAAGAUGAUUGUGGCCACAGGCCAUGAUCAUUGCCAGCAGUUGAAGGAUAUGCUCAGCAAGGCGGAUCCUUCGACCAUGGUGGUGGUGAUGGCCUCAAGCAACCAGACUUCCACGCCCAAGCCCCACACGCCAGUCAUGGACUCCCGGCUACUAGCAGCAGCUUGCUCUGGCUCUUCCCAGGAUCUGGAAUCACUUCUCAAUGGGGAAAACCUUCAAGCCUCGAGGGAAGAGACCAUUGGAAGCUCGGUGAUGCGGAGAGCUUCUGGUGAUGAAGAAGCAUUUCUCAGGGAGUCGCUCCUCGAUGCGGUCACAGUUCAUGGUGACACUCUUCUCCACGUUGUGGCUGCCAGCCAUGAUUAUGGCGAGGACUUCCUGAAGAAAGCUCGUAUCAUACACAUCAAGGCACAAAACCUCCUAUUAGUGCAGACUAACAAGGGGGAUACACCCUUGCACUGUGCUGCACGGGCAGGAAACUCCCAAAUGGUGUCUCUUCUUAUUGAUCUUGCCAAAGGUCAGGAUAACAAUCCUAACAGAUUGAAGGCGCUGCUUGAAACAGAAAACAAGGCCAAGGAGACAGCAUUGCAUGAAGUUGUCCGCUUUGCGCACAAUGAUAUAGUCAAGUUGCUUAUGGAGGAGAACCAUGAAUUGGCCAGUUUGCCCAAACAUGGGACUUCACCGUUGUACCUAGCCAUCUUACUGGAAAAUAAAAUCAUCGCCAAAACAAUUUACGAGUUUAGCAAGGGGUUUCUUUCAUACUCUGGACCAAAUGGACAAAAUGCAUUGCAUGCUGCUGUUCUCCGAGGCAAAGAUCUUACAAAGAUGUUGUUAGAAUGGAACAUCGACCUUACGAUACAACGGGAUGAAAAGGGAAAUACACCUCUUCACUUUGCCGCAGCUGUGGAACAACGAUUUUACAAUACAAUGGGACGAAGUAUACGCUUACAUCUAUUGAAAGCCAAUUCCGAAGCUUUGUAUCAGUCAGACCACAAUGGAUCAUUUCCUACACAUGUGGCUGCAUCCAUUGGUGCAACAUGGGCCAUCCGUGAUUUUCUGAAGAAGUCACUCAAUUGUGCUGGUUUGCGUGAUGCUAGGGGAAGGACAUUUCUUCAUGUUGCAGUUGGCAAAAUGAACAUGACGACAGUCUAUUAUGCUUGUAGAAAUCGGUCAUUGUCAUGGAUCUUGAAUAUGCAAGACAACGAUGGGAACACUGCACUGCACCUAGCUGUCAAGGCAGGCAGUCUUAGAGUGUUUUGCCCGCUAUUCGGGAAUAGACAAGUACAGUUGAAUUUAACAAAUGAGAAAGGGGAGACUCCGCUAGAUAUAGCAUAUCACAAUCUUCCAAAAAGAGGAAUCUAUUACAACCAGAAUAGUGAAGCAAAAAUACAGCUCGCACUUGAAUUUGCCGGUGCUAAAAGGGGUGUUUUUCGCAUGGAUUAUUUUGAAGAAUAUGAUAUUGUCCAAGCAAGACAGGAUGAAAAACAUCAAAUGGAGAUGGUGAAAGACAUGACACAAAAUCUAUGUAUUGGCUCGGUCCUAAUUGCAACUGUGACGUUUGGUGCAAGUUUUGCCAUGCCUGGAGGUUAUAGAGCCGAUGACCAUACUAAUGGAGGCACCCCAACACUUGCUGGGAGGUAUGCCUUUGAUGCAUUCACCCUAGCCAACGCACAUGCCUUUACACUCUCCACGAUGGCUAUAAUUUCUCUCAUGUCUUCUGGAUCUCCCUUGCAUAACACUCGCACCCGGAAAUUGAACUUACGCAUGGCCUUCUAUUUCAUGUUGAUAUCGAUUACAAGCUUGGUGGUUGCCUUUGCAAUUGGUAUCUAUAUGAUGCUAGCUCCAGUUGCUCAUAAGACUGCUGUUGCAGUAUGCGUCUUGAGUUCCCUUGCAUUGUUCUAUCAAAAUUUGGACUUCAUAGUCAAGAACAUUGUUCUGAUAGGACCAUUAUGUAUGAGAAAGGGGAUAGCCUACACAUUCAUACUUUCAACAUUCUCCAUCAUGAGCAAUGUUGUAUUAGAACAUUGGCCCAUAUUAGUCAUCUUUUGUUCUACUGGAAGAAACUACCAUUAG
rnacentral:rRNA from 1 species